CCUACGGGAGGCAGCAGUGGGGGAUAUUGCACAAUGGGGGAAACCCUGAUGCAGCGACGCCGCGUGGGUGAAGAAGCGCCUCGGCGCGUAAAGCCCUGUCAGCAGGGAAGAAAAUGACGGUACCUGAAGAAGAAGCCCCGGCUAACUACGUGCCAGCAGCCGCGGUAAUACGUAGGGGGCAAGCGUUAUCCGGAUUUACUGGGUGUAAAGGGGGCGCAGACGGCGAUGCAAGCCAGGAGUGAAAGCCCGGGGCCCAACCCCGGGACUGCUCUUGGAACUGCGUGGCUAGAGUGCAGGAGGGGCAGGCGGAAUUGCUGGUGUAGCGGUGAAAUGCGUAGAUAGCAGGAGGAACACCGGUGGCGAAGGCGGCCUGCUGGACUGCAACUGACGUUGAGGCCCGAAAGCGUGGGGAGCAAACAGGAUUAGAUACCCCAGUAGUC
rnacentral:rRNA from 1 species